rnacentral:misc_RNA from 1 species
AAAGAAUUGAGUAUCGUCGCUUUGCUGCUGUCUUAAUAUUGAAGGAAAUGGCAGAAAAUGCUUCAACCGUCUUCAAUGUUCACGUGCCGGAGUUUGUGGAUGCUAUUUGGGUUGCUUUGAGGGAUCCAACAUUGGCUGUCCGGGAGAAGGCUGUUGAGGCAUUGCGUGCCUGCCUUCGUGUUAUUGAAAAGCGUGAGACACGAUGGCGUGUUCAGUGGUAUUAUCGAAUGUUUGAGGCUACCCAAGAUGGAUUGGGGAGAAAUGCGCCUGUUCAUAGUAUACAUGGAUCUCUUCUCGCAGUCGGGGAGUUGCUAAG